AAGAAGUACUAUAAAAAUAAGUUUGUACACCACAAUAUUGAGCUGUGUUACAUAACAGAAAGUAAAAUAAAACUCUACCUUUAUUUUCUUUUUGGAAAGAAUGCAAUUUCACUUCAAGUCUGGUUUGUCUUGCUCUGGGGGCACUUGGAUGGAGCAGCCCAGCGAAAACAAGUUUAGUGUCGCGAGAAGCUUAUUGGGCUAAGAACAAGAAGCUCCGGAAUUUCUGAGUUCUUCUGUCCAUCAUAAAAGGAAGUAUCACUUGGGCUUUAGAAGCCAAACACAUUCCAUUUCACAGGUGCUGCCUGAUGCUGGUCAGGUAGGGAAAGUGGCUUGUAACAAGCCCAUGGAGCUGACUCACUGAGCCUCUGUGACAGAGAAGGGUUGUAGUAUCAGCUCUGCAUCCAGAAGGUUACAUGUUCAAUCCCUGGCAUCUCCAGAGGGCUGGACUCCUGGACACCUGGGAUAGGACAAGAUAGCCUGCCUGGCUUCCAUUCAUCCUGGGAGCCUUACAUGAACACUCUCCUGCUGCAUCCUCUAUCAGUAGCAACUAGGGUCCUCCAACUGGUGUUAGCCUUCAGCUUCCAGAAGUUCCAAAUAGCACAGCCAAUGGACAUGGAUGAUAAGAAUUGUCCAACAACAUCAGUGGGGGUUACAUAUUUCCCAUCCCUGAACUCAGGAGAAACAAACAAAUCUCUCUCAACAGCUGGGUUUAGGGACUGGAAGACAGGCAUUGUAAGAGAGAUGGGGCUGGAGAAGUGAUGGGGUAAACAGAGGGAGAAUGUUUUAAAGGACUCCAUUGGUUCACGUUCCCUCCUCUGUUUAGUGGUUAAGUGGGGAAAACUCUCAUGGAUUCUGCACAAGGGCUACUAAAAUUCUAGAACACAUCUUGUUCCUGCCCUUUUCUUUCUGGAUGCUUCCAGGCUGUGGCUAUUUUGGGCUGGAAUUUGAUCAUAUACUGAAAAAUUCAGGUUACACAAAGCUAGCUGGCUUACACAACAAAUCUGCUUCCCCCAAAGAGCAGACUUUCUCCUAUUUGCAUUGGUAAAAUGUGAAAUAGCACUUGCUUUGAUACCAUUUCAUCUAACCUCCCUGCAAACAAAUCAGGACAAAUGUUCAUUAAACAGGCAGGUCAUCUGAA